rnacentral:rRNA from 1 species
UGGGGAAUAUUGCACAAUGGGCGCAAGCCUGAUGCAGCCAUGCCGCGUGUAUGAAGAAGGCCUUCGGGUUGUAAAGUACUUUCAGUCGGGAGGAAGGUGUCAAGGUUAAUAACCUUGGCAAUUGACGUUACCGACAGAAGAAGCACCGGCUAACUCCGUGCCAGCAGCCGCGGUAAUACGGAGGGUGCAAGCGUUGUCCGGAUUUAUUGGGCGUAAAGCGAGCGCAGGCGGUUUCUUAAGUCUGAUGUGAAAGCCCCCGGCUCAACCGGGGAGGGUCAUUGGAAACUGGGAGACUUGAGUGCAGAAGAGGAGAGUGGAAUUCCAUGUGUAGCGGUGAAAUGCGUAGAUAUAUGGAGGAACACCAGUGGCGAAGGCGGCUCUCUGGUCUGUAACUGACGCUGAGGCUCGAAAGCGUGGGGAGCAAACAGG